UCCAUCUGUAAGGGUGUACCCUUCUGUAGAAGUACCUUGCCUUGCUGAGAAUUAAAAAGAAAAUUUUAUAUUCGAGUACUAGUUCUUUUGCAGCACCGAAACUUUAUUUAUAACAAUUUGGGGCCUCACCGGUGAUUACAUUAUCCUCCGGGGGCGGUCUCUGGUUCUCUCUUCUGAGGAGACAUGCCCCGCCCCCUUGUGGCGGCCUCGGGGGUGAGAACUCAAGACCCACUCAGUGCGAGGAAUAACCGCAGCUCUCAGCAACGCGCAGGGGAGGGGCUGGGGGGAGGGACUGGCCAGCAACCUAGCUUAAAGGAUCCUCAUAGACUGCAGCGACGAUUCUGUGCACAGACUAAGGAAGGAGAAGCUGCAGGAACCGUUUCCUGAGUUGCAAGUUUAGGCUCUUGGCUGUAAACAGUUCUUCUUUCCUAAUAUUUCAAACAUUUCAUUGAAGGAGAUCAAGAAAAUUAAUUACUGAUCAAGAGCCCACCUAAACUUGAAAACAAGCUUAUGUUACUAUAGAAGAAUGAGAGAUCACCUGGGCAAAUAUAAGACAUUUUAGAUGAUCCAUAAUAGAAUUACUAACCUCCAGUCUGUCUGCCAGCUCCACAAAGACACAAGAGCAAACCCAGAAAUUCUGAGAACCUUCCUUGAAAUCAUUGAACAGCAAAUGAACAAGCUGUUGCCAACCUGGGGUAGAAGACAGCAGAUGGCUUUGUCAAACUUGUAUUUGUCCCUGGGGUAAAGGGCUUCAAUGCUGAGCAUCGAGCAUAAGGAGUUGGAGAAAGAGAUGUGGGUGAUUUACCUCUGCCAUUUCUAGAAGCUGAGAAGUCCAACAUCAAGGCACAGGCAGGUGGCAGGUUUGAUUGUCUGGUGAAGGCUGCCCUCUGCUUCCAAGAUGGACCCUUGUUGUUGCAUUUUCUGGAAAAAAGGAACACUGUGUUCUCAGAUGGCUGAAAGCAGAAGGAACCUCAGGCCAAGUGUUCUUGACAGCUCAUCCACAGACUCCCACUGGUAAAGCAGCAUGAGGAUGGCUUCUGUUAUUUUAUUUCAGAAUUUUUUCCUGCAGUGGCAUGCCAGUACCAGCUGAGGAUCAUGUAUGCAAUAUUUGCCUUCUUUCAUCUUCUACCUAGGAUGGCUUUAAUUCUCUUCGAGGAGAAUUUAUUUUAGUUUUUCCCAGUAAGAGAAUCCACUUCUCUUGCCCAUAUUCAUAAAUUAUCAUUAAAAAUUAAACUUGGUACAAUAAAUAUUAACAUGGUUCCAGCUUCUCCAUUGUUAUGCUCAGAAUUCAGUUCAUUGGCAGGAUCUAGGCAUAGGAUCAGUCCAAAGUUGGGCCAAGGCACAAGGAAGGUUUGCACAAGUUUAGAGCAUCAUUGAGAAUCCAUAUGGCAUCAAAUUCUGACCAUCAGAACCAAUCAUUUUAGUCAAAUUGCUGAGACACAAAUUAAGUCCAGGAAUCGGUAG
rnacentral:lncRNA from 10 species